GUGCUUGCUUCAGCAGCACAUGUACUAAAAUUGGAACAAUGCAGAGAAGAUUAGCAUGGCCCCUGCACAAGGAUGACACACAAAUUUGUGAAGCAUUUCAUAUCUUU